GACGUAGGGCGCGAGCGUUGUCCGGAUUUAUUGGGCGUAAAGAGCUCGUAGGCGGCUUGUCGCGUCGACUGUGAAAUCCCGCGGCUCAACCGCGGGUCUGCAGUCGAUACGGGCAGGCUAGAGUUCGGUAGGGGAGACUGGAAUUCCUGGUGUAGCGGUGAAAUGACGCAGAUAUCAGGAGGAACACCGAUGGCGAAGGCAGGCAACUGGGUCUCACCUGACACUGCUAGGACGAAAGCGUGGGGAGCGAAUGGG
rnacentral:rRNA from 1 species